rnacentral:misc_RNA from 1 species
AAGACUAUAGACCUGCGGAGUACCUGCGGAGGGAUCAUUAUAGAGUUUUCUAAACUCCCAACCCAUGUGAACUUACCUUUUGUUGCCUCGGCAGAAGUUAUAGGUCUUCUUAUAGCUGCUGCCGGUGGACCAUUAAACUCUUGUUAUUUUAUGUAAUCUGAGCGUCUUAUUUUAAUAAGUCAAAACUUUCAACAAUGGAUCUCU